UAAAGGAUCGGCCCGCGUUGGAUUAGCUAGUUGGUGGGGUAAAGGCCUACCAAGGCGACGAUCCAUAGCUGGUCUGAGAGGAUGAUCAGCCACAUUGGGACUGAGACACGGCCCAAACUCCUACGGGAGGCAGCAGUGGGGAAUAUUGGACAAUGGGCGCAAGCCUGAUCCAGCCAUGCCGCGUGAGUGAUGAAGGCCUUAGGGUUGUAAAGCUCUUUCACCGGUGAAGAUAAUGACGGUAACCGGAGAAGAAGCCCCGGCUAACUUCGUGCCAGCAGCCGCGGUAAUACGAAGGGGGCUAGCGUUGUUCGGAAUUACUGGGCGUAAAGCGCACGUAGGCGGGUAUUUAAGUCAGGGGUGAAAUCCCAGAGCUCAACUCUGGAACUGCCUUUGAUACUGGGUACCUAGAGUAUGGAAGAGGUGAGUGGAAUUCCGAGUGUAGAGGUGAAAUUCGUAGAUAUUCGGAGGAACACCAGUGGC
rnacentral:rRNA from 1 species